UUAUUUGAGAGUUUGAUCCUGGCUCAGGAUGAACGCUGGCGGCGUGCCUAACACAUGCAAGUUGAGCGAUUUACUUCGGUAAAGAGCGGCGGACGGGUGAGUAACGCGUGGGUAACCUACCCUGUACACACGGAUAACAUACCGAAAGGUAUGCUAAUACGGGAUAACAUAUUUGAGAGGCAUCUCUUAAAUAUCAAAGGUGAGCCAGUACAGGAUGGACCCGCGUCUGAUUAGCUAGUUGGUAAGGUAACGGCUUACCAAGGCGACGAUCAGUAGCCGACCUGAGAGGGUGAUCGGCCACAUUGGAACUGAGACACGGUCCAAACUCCUACGGGAGGCAGCAGUGGGGAAUAUUGCACAAUGGGCGAAAGCCUGAUGCAGCAACGCCGCGUGAGUGAUGAAGGCCUUCGGGUCGUAAAACUCUGUCCUCAAGGAAGAUAAUGACGGUACUUG
rnacentral:rRNA from 1 species